GCCCUUGUGACGGAAUGGUAGACGUGUCGCGUUGAGGUCGCGGUGCUGUAAAAGGCGUAUCGGUUCAAGUCCGAUCAAGGGCA
rnacentral:tRNA from 1 species